UGCUUCUGUGACCUCACACCGCUGCUUUGAAGGACGACACGCAUGCGUCGUAAGCGGGGUUCUUCACGUAUUCCGUCAACGUUCCUCCUCAUAAAAUACAGAUCAAACUUCAAACUGGUAAGUUCUCGUUUAAUCUUACUAUUAUUGUCACUACAUCCAAGCGGGUCCUUUACCUUGAGUUCCUUCAUUACAUCUGGUUCAUUAGACAACACUAAAUCCAGAAUUUCGUUCCCUCUGGUAGGCUCCAGUACUAGCUGCUCUAAGAAUACAUCUCGGAGGCAUUCCACAAACUCCCUUUCUUGUGGUCCAGAACCAACCUGAUUUUCCUAGUCUACCUGCAUAUUGAAAUCUCCCACAAACUCCGUGGCAUUACCUUUGUUACAUGCCAAUUUGAACUCCUGCUGCAACUUGCACGUUAUAUCCAGGCUACUAUUUGGGGGCCUGUAGAUAAUUCCCAUUAGUAUCUUCUUACAUUUACAACGUCUCAAUUCUAUCCACAGCGACUCUGCGUCGUCAGUCCCUAUGUCACCCCUCGCAAGGGACUGAACUUCAUCCCUCACCAACAGAACUUUCCCACCUGCCUGUCCUUUCUAUAGGAUGUAUAACCCUGAAUAUUCAGUCCCCAGCCAUGAUCCUCCUGCAGCCAUGUCUCUGUAAUCCCCACAAUGUCAUAUCUACCAAUCUCUAGCUGAGCCUCAAGCUCGUCCACUUUACUUCUUAUACUUCGUGCAUUCAUAUAUAAUACUUUUAGUCCAUUAUUCACCUCACCUUUCACAUCGAUUUAUAUUUCACUUGGCCAUACUCUCCUAUCCCUUUGUGAGUUUUCUGUCCCAUUCAUUCUGGUGUCUUUCUCAACUUUUCCUAUACUCUCUUUCCCUUUAACUCCAUUCUUGUAUUUCCAAUUUGUUUCCUCCCCACUCACUAUUAAGAUUUAACUACCGGUGUGGCAGUGGCAAACCUGCCUGUCAGAAUGCUGGUCCCCCGCCUGCAACCCGUCCCUUUUGUACUAUUCACCCUUACCCCAAAACAGACCCCAAUGGUCUAAGAAUCUAAAUCCCUGCUCCCUGCACCAGCUCCUCAGCCACACAUUGAGAUCCUCUGUCUCCCUGUUCCUUCCCUCACCAGCACAAGGAACUGGAAGAACAUCCGAGAUAAUCAACCUGGAGGUCCUGCUUUUCAGCCGCCUUCCGAGUUCUCUGAUGUCAAUAGACAAUAUGUGCAGGAGUAGGUCAUUCGGCCCUUCGGGCCAGCACCGCCAUUCAAUGUGAUCAGAGCUGAUCAUCCCCAAUCAGUACCCCGUUCCUGCCUUCUCUCCAUAUCCCCUGACUCCGCUAUUUUAAGAGCCCCAUCUAGCUCUCUCUCGAAACCUGCCUCCUGAGGCGAAUAAUUCCACAGACUCACCGCUCUCUGUGAGAAAAAAGUGUUUCCUCGUCUCCGUUCUAAAUGGCUUCCUCCUUAUUCUUAAACAGUGGCCCCUGGUUCUGGACUACCCCAAAAUCGGGAACAUGUUUCCUGCCUCUAGCGUGUCCAAACCCUUAACAAUCUUACAUGUUUCAAUGAGAUACCCUCUCAUCCUUCUAAAGUCCAGAGUGUACAAGCCCAGCUGCUCCAUUGUCUCAGCAUAUGACAGUCCCGCCAUCCCGGGUAUUAACCCUGUAAACCUACGCUGCACUCCCUCUAUAGCAAGAAUGUCCUUCCUCAAAUUAGGAGACCAAAACUGUACACAAUACUCCAGGUGUGGUCUCACUAGGGGUUUGUACAACUGCAGAAGGACCGCUUUGCUCUUAUAUUCGAUUCCUCUUGUUAUAAAGGCCAUCAUGCCAUUUGUUUUCUUCACUGCCUGCUGUACCUGCAUGAUUAUUUUCAUAGACUGAUGUACAAGGACCCCCCAGAUCCCGUUGUACUUCCCGUUUCCCAACUUGAUGUCAUUUAGAUAAAGUCACGUUGUGGAAUCUCUGUCCUCUUCGUCCCGACGUCAUGCGGGACCACUUCCGGCUGCUCACCUUCACCCUUGAGGAUGCUCUACAAUGGGUCCAUGACGUCCUGGAUCCUGGCACCAGGGAGGCAACACGUCAUCCUUGACUCCCAUCUGUUGCCGCUGAACCCCCUGUAUGUCCCCCUCACGAUGGAGUCCCCGACUACCACGGCUCUGCCUGACGUCUGUCUGUCUCUUCGGCUUUGGUUCAGCGCCACGUUUUGACCACGGAUCAUACAGCGGGUCGGCUCUGUCAUCUUUGGGUAGCAUCUUUCACACACAGGGCGGAGCUGAGAAUCUCCCAAUACAAUGGAGCUGAUCAGAUUCGCAGCUUGGGAUUCGUUGAAUUUAAAGCAAAAAACACCCCCCCGCCCCAUUGGUCCGAAUGCAAGAGCAAAGACAGACGUUGUGAAAUCUACACGGAAAUCCAGGCAGAAAAUCAUUGCGACGGUGAGAACCACAGCAGUUUGGAACUCUUGAAUCAUCAUGGCUGAAGAUAGGGGAGGAGAUACAGUGACGUCUACAUCAAGUCAACAGAAAGCUCCUCCAAUGUCUUCGAUGACGGAGCUCCUGGAAAGGUGUGAUGAUUCGCAGCUGCUGGAUUUGACAAAUCACUAUCGCGAGAGGCUGGAAGAGGCGAUUCAAGAGGCGGUGAAGAAUGUCAUCUUCGUUCUAGCAUACAAGAGAUAUUUCAGUGAGCAAGAGUACAAGGUAGGGAGAGGAAUGGAUGAGUGGGUUACUUCAGCCGAUACUCAAAUAUUUUUAUGCACAAAUAUUGUGGGCCGAAGGGUCCAUUCAUGUGCUGUACUGCUCUCUAUAAUUACAGCUCAGUAUGGCACAGUCACAAAGAAUAUCCCGUACAGUGGUGGUGAGUUUCUCAAACACGCCAUUAUAUUCAGGAUGUGGUGUAAUACACUGAUACAACACAAAGCAUUUCAAUGAUUCACAUCAUUGAAAAUGCAAAUCAGCUAGCAAAUCUUUAAAACACUCGCGACACAACAGUUAUAUGGGCAUUUUACUUUUUGGGGAUAAUUAAUAGAUGAUCAACUUCUCUUCGCAGUCUUACAUCCUUGUUUUUCCCCAGUCAUUUUUAAUCUUCUCUGCAAAAUGGGUACAAUUAAAGCCUUAUGUUAUUUCCUGGUGAGUCUUAUUAGCCCCAGCCAGGUUUACAAACUCCUAUAUUUUUCAUUAUCCGGCCAGCUAUGCUUUACAAUGUAAACAUUUUCUGAAUCUAUAAUUGCCUUUCCCAGUAUCACCCAGUGCAAUUUACUUUCUAUAUGUUAGACAAUAGACAAUAGGUGCAGGUGUAUACCAUUCGGCCCUUCGUGCCAACACCGCCAUUCAAUGUGAUCAUGGCUGAUCAUCCCCAAUCAGUACCCCGUUCCUGCCUUCUCGCUAUAUCCCCUGACUACGCUAUUUUUAAGUCCUAUCUAGCUAUCUCAUGAGAGCAUCCAGAGAACCUGCCUCCAGCGCCCUCUGAGGCAGGGUAUUCCACAGACUCACCACUCUCUGAGGAAAAAGUGUUUCCUCGUCUCCAUUCUGAAUGGCUUACUUCAUAUUCUUAAACUGUAGCCCCUGGUUCUGGGCUCCCCCAACAUCGGGAAUAUGUUUCCUGCCUCUGGCGUGCCCAGCCCCUUAACAAUCUUAUGUGUUUCAAUCAGAUCCCUUCUCGUCCUUUGUUGACCAUUUUACCCCAACUGGCUUCCUUAUUAUUUAAACUCUUGGGUUAAACAUGUUACUAACUUAACUAACUUACUUAUUACUUAAAUUUCAGAAUGUCUUACAUCAACCAUUGGGCCAUUUCAUUUAAGAACUAUUGUCAACAAGAUGAUAGGUUUAAUAAUAAUUUAAGACAUCUAAUUAUUUGAGAAAGCUAUAACAAAUCAGACCAUGUUAACAUGCUUUAAUGAAGGCAAAUCACUUCUGACAAAUGUAUUUGAGCAGGUUGAAGAUUUAACCCGCAGAGUACAUAGAGGGGAACAGUGGGAAUUGCAGAUGCAGCAACCUUAAGCAAAAAAACAAAGUGUUUGAAACUGAAAUGGCAAUGGAAAUGAAAUAAAAUUGAGAUGAGUUGUUUGGCCUGUCCUAUGCUUGAAACUGAAAUUGCAAUGGAAAUGAAAGGACAUGAAAAUGUGAUGAGUUGUUUGAAGGGAUGGCAUCAAACAGGAAAUUAGUAAUGCUUGCAACAAAGGGAAAACAGUUAUAAUGGGUGACUUCAAUCUACAUAUAGAUUGGGUGAAUCAAAUUGGCAAGGGUGCUGAGGAAGAGGUUUUCUUGGAAUGUAUGAGGGAUAGUUUUCUAAACCAACAUGUAGAGGAACCAACGAGAGAGCAGGCUAUUCUAGAUUGGGUGCAGCUGAUUAUUCUAGAGAGAGCAGCUGAUUGUGAGUCAGAUCCCUGCUGAUUUCUCCCAGCAGUUUGUAUUGUAUUGUACUUGUAUCCAGGGUAAGGCGGGAGAAUGAGGGCUAGGGCAAUUUACUGUUCUGGAUGUCAGAUGUGGGAGGUCAUGGAGUCGGAUAGCCCUCCAGACGUCCACGUCUGCGCCAGGUGCAUCGAGAUGGGGCUCCUAAGGGCCGUAUUAGGAUCCUGGAGCAGCAGCUCGAUGACCUCUGUCUGGUCAGGGAGAGUGAGGAGGUCAUAGAGAUGAGUUAUAGGGAGGUGGUCACUCUAAAACCACGGGAGAGAGACAUGUGGGUCACGCCUAGGAAGGGCAAGGGGCAGAGGCAGGGACGAACGAGUACACCCGUGUCUGUACACCUUGAAAAUAAGUAAUCCUGUGUGAGUACGGUUG